rnacentral:rRNA from 1 species
UACGUAGGGGGCAAGCGUUGUCCGGAAUCAUUGGGCGUAAAGCGCGUGUAGGCGGCUCGAUAAGUCUGCUGUGAAAGUCCAGGGCUCAACCCUGGAAUGCCGGUGGAAACUGUCGAGCUAGAGUCCGGGAAGAGGCGAGUGGAAUUCCUGGUGUAGCGGUGAAAUGCGCAGAUAUCAGGAGGAACACCAAUGGCGAAGGCAGCUCGCUGGGACGGUACUGACGCUGGAGACGCGAAAGCGUGGGGAGCAAACAGG